rnacentral:rRNA from 1 species
CAUGCAUGUCUAAGUAUAAACGAUUGAAUCGUGAAACCGCGAAUGGCUCAUUAUAACAGCUAUAAUUUACUUGAUCUUGACACAAUCCUACUUGGAUAACUGUGGUAAUUCUAGAGCUAAUACAUGCAUUAAAGCUCUGACCUCACGGGAAGAGUGCAUUUAUUAGAACAAAACCAAGCGGCUUCGGCUGUUUCUGGUUGACUCAUAGUAACUGAGCUGAUCGCAUGGUCUUGCACCGGCGACGUGUCUUUCAAGUAUCUGCCGUAUCAACUUUCGAUGGUAGUGUAUCUGACUACCAUGGUGAUCACGCGUAACGGAGAAUAAGGGUUCGGCUCCGGAGAGUUCGCCUGAGAAAUCGCGAACACAUCUAAGGAAGGCAGCAGGCGCGAAAAUUACCCACUCUCAGCACGAGGAGGUAGUGACGAAAAAUAACGAGACCGUUCUCUUAUGAGGCCGGUCAUCGGAAUGGGUACAAUUUAAACCCUAAACGAGUUG